UACAGAGGGGGCAAGCGUUGUUCGGAAUUACUGGGCGUAAAGGGCGCGUAGGCGGCCUUCUAAGUCGAACGUGAAAUCCCCGGGCUCAACCCGGGAACUGCGUCCGAUACUGGAAGGCUUGAAUCCGGGAGAGGGAUGUGGAAUUCCAGGUGUAGCGGUGAAAUGCGUAGAUAUCUGGAGGAACACCGGUGGCGAAGGCGGCAUCCUGGACCAAUACUGACGCUGAGGAGCGAAAGCCAGGGGAGCAAACGGG
rnacentral:rRNA from 1 species